GAAGCAGAUCACUGAGGAGGAUCUUCACAUUGAUAAGAAGCAGAAAACAGAGAAUCAACAGUUUUUUUUUUUUUAAAAUUAGUAUUUAGUUUUUACCUUUAGAUCUUCGUGUAUUUCUCUUUUAAUCUGAAAUUUAUUUAUGAUACCUAGGAUGAGGCAGCUAAAGCUCCUCGGUCUCUAAAAAAGCCUCGCAAAAAUAAACAGAAGCUGGAAAAGGUCGAAUUCGAAGAUAAUUUCGGUUUAAGCUCAGGUAUUUUGGUUUGCCCGCCAAUUUGCUGCCAUAUGUAUCCGAACAUAUAUGAUGCUGAAGGAGACAGACACUCUAAAAAAUGGAUCCUUGAACAACAACACAAACGCGUAGUCGCAAUGAAGAAUCUAAGGAGGUGGUACUAGUGCAGUAUUAGUAGUACGCUUUGAUUAUCCCUAGCUUUAACCCUAAUAUAACAAUAGUUCAGAAUCUUAAUUUGCUUAUUGGUAUGUACUAGUAAAGACUGAAUUUUUAUGUUAGUGAAUGUAUUAAGUAACUUGGAAUCUAAUUAUCUAAAUGCUAUGCUUAUCUAAUCAACUUAUUUGCCGUC